GAUGGCUUCUUCUAACCCUCUCUCUUCACAACCUAUUUUUACUACCUCUGAAAUCCCUCCUUCAACCACCAGAACCUCCCAACCUUCACCAGUUCUAAAUGUAGCCCGUACUUUCAUACCUCCCUCUAAACCUGCACAAACCCACCAAAGCACUUCAUCUUCAUCAUCCUCAGAACCAGAAUCACCCCCAUAUGUUUCCCUCUCUUCUGACCCAGAAUUUUCUGACCCUGAUUCCCCAACCAUAGCCACAAUUUACGCUCAUAAACUUGCUUCACAACAACAAACACAAACACAAUCUGAAGCAACUUCACCUCCACCACAACAAACAACCACCAUACCUUCUGAAACUCAACCCU
rnacentral:lncRNA from 1 species